ACGGGUAGCCGGCCUGAGAGGGCGACCGGCCACACUGGGACUGAGACACGGCCCAGACUCCUACGGGAGGCAGCAGUGGGGAAUAUUGCACAAUGGGCGAAAGCCUGAUGCAGCGACGCCGCGUGAGGGAUGACGGCCUUCGGGUUGUAAACCUCUUUCAGCAGGGAAGAAGCGAAAGUGACGGUACCUGCAGAAGAAGCGCCGGCUAACUACGUGCCAGCAGCCGCGGUAAUACGUAGGGCGCAAGCGUUGUCCGGAAUUAUUGGGCGUAAAGAGCUCGUAGGCGGCCUGUCACGUCGGAUGUGAAAGCCCGGGGCUUAACCCCGGGUCUGCAUUCGAUACGGGCAGGCUAGAGUUCGGUAGGGGAGAUCGGAAUUCCUGGUGUAUCGGUGAAAUGCGCAGAUAUCAGGAGGAACACCGGUGGCGAAGGCGGAUCUCUGGGCCGAUACUGACGCUGAGGAGCGAAAGCGUGGGGAGCGAACAGGAUUAGAUACCCUGGUAGUCCACGCCGUAAACGUUGGGAACUAGGUGUGGGCGACAUUCCACGUCGUCCGUGCCGCNAGCUAACGCAUUAAGUUCCCCGCCUGGGGAGUAACGGCCCCCAAGGCUUAAAACUCAAAAGGAAUUUGACGG
rnacentral:rRNA from 1 species